AUUGAUAAUGGACCAUGUUAGCAAUUGAUCAAAUCUAAUUAAAAGUUAAUUCUGAUUGGAUCAAUUUCUUCUCUUGAUCAAUUUCAAUAGUUGUAGUUGGUCAAGUUCAUAUCUUUGAUUAGACUAAUAUGGAUUUUGAUCGUAGCUCCAUGGUCGAACCCAAGUCUAUAAGUUGAUUAAAUUGAAAAUGACUAACCAGUUGGUAUCUAAGAUAAGUAUGGCAGCUU
rnacentral:lncRNA from 1 species